UGCCAGCAGCCGCGGUAAUACGUAGGUGGCGAACGUUAUCCGGAAUUACUGGGCGUAAAGGGUCCGUAGGCGGUUUUGUAGGUCUGACGUGAAAGCCCAUGGCUCAACUGUGGGAUGCCGUUAGAAACCAUAAAACUAGAAUCGUUUCGAGGUCGGCGGAAUUCCCGGCGUAGUGGUGGAAUGCGUAGAGGUCGGGAGGAACGCCAAAUGCGAAGGCAGCCGGCUAGAAGAUGAUUGACGCUGAGGGACGAAAGCGUGGGUAGCCAACAGGAUUAGAUA
rnacentral:rRNA from 1 species